rnacentral:rRNA from 1 species
GCAGUAUCCUAACUGUGCUAAGGUAGCAUAAUCAUUAGUCUUUUAAUUGAAGACUGGUAUGAAUGGCUUAACGAGAAAUUGACUUUUUUUACUAUUACAAUUGAAUUUAAUUUUUUAGUGAAAAAGCUAAAAUGUUUCAGAAAGACGAGAAGACCCUAUAGAGUUUUAUAUAAAUUUAUAUCUUUUCUUAAUAGAUUUACAAAGAAUAAGUAUAAAUAAGUAUUUUGUUGGGGCGACAUUAAGAUAAAUAAAACUCUUUAUUUUUUAAAUUUUUAUAAAAAUAUUUAUGAUCCUUUAAAAGAGAUCAAAAGAAAAAAUUACCUUAGGGAUAACAGCGUAAUCUUUUUUUAGAGUUCUAAUCGACAAAAAGGUUUGCGACCUCGAUGUUGGACUAAAAUUUAGGCAGGGUGCAGCAGUUCUGCUUUUAGGUCUGUUCGACCUAUA